rnacentral:rRNA from 2 species
AAAGUUCUUAGGUAUAAGCAAAAUUAUACAGCGAAACUGCGAAUGGCUCAUUAAAUCAGUUAUGAUCUACAUGACAAAUUAUUUUUUACUACUGGAUAACCGUGGUAAUUCUAGAGCUAAUACAUGCAGAAAAGCCCUGACUUCGGAAGGGGUGCACUUAUUAGGUAAAAACCAUCCCACCUUUACCGGUGGUUUUAUGGUGAUUCAUAAUAAUUAAGCUGAUCGCAUGGCCCUUGAGCCGGCGACGGUACAUUCGAUUUUCUGCCCUAUCAGGCUUAUGAUGGUAAGGUAGUGGCUUACCAUGGCUAUCACGGGUAACGGGGAAUUAGGGUUCGAUUCCGGAGAGGGAGCCUGAGAAACGGCUACCACAUCCAAGGAAGGCAGCAGGCGCGCAAAUUACCCAAUACCGACACGGUGAGGUAGUGACAAUAAAUAACAAUGCAGGGUCUUUAUGAUCUUUGCAAUUGGAAUGAGUACAAUUUAAAUCCCUUAACGAGGAUCAAUUGGAGGGCAAGUCUGGUGCCAGCAGCCGCGGUAAUUCCAGCUCCAAAAGCGUAUAUUAAAGUUGUUGCAGUUAAAACGUCCGUAGUCGAACUUACGCCUUUGUGGUUAGGCAGCUAGUCAUUCAUUUGGCUAGAUUUUGCUUUUAACCCGGGUGAUAAAGUUUGGGUAUGAUCAUGUUGGCUUCGGUUGAUGUGAUUCUCUGCCUAAGCGUAUUACCAUGAGCAAAUCAGAAUGCUCAAAGUAGGCCCUUUGUGCCUGAAUGUGUUAGCAUGGAAUAAUGAAAUAGGACCCUAGUCUUGUUUUGUUGGUAUACUUGACCUUGGGAAAUGAUGAAUAGGAACGGUUGGGGGCAUUUGUAUUUGGUCGCUAGAGGUGAAAUUCUUGGAUUGACCGAAGACAAACAACUGCGAAAGCAUUUGACCUAGGACGUUUCCAUUGAUCAGGGACUAAAGUUGAGGGAUCGAAGACGAUUAGAUACCGUCGUAGUCUUAACCACAAACUAUGCCGACUAGCGAUUGGAUCCUCGCCACUGGCAGGAUUCAGCAGCUUAGCGAAAGUAAAGUUUUUGGGUUCUGGGGGGAGUAUGGGACGCAAGGCUGAAACUUAAAGGAAUUGACGGAAGGGCACCACCAGGAGUGGAGCCUGCGGCUUAAUUUGACUCAACACGGGGAAACUCACCAGGUCCAGACAUAAUAAGGAUUGACAGAUUGAAAGCUCUUUCUAGAUUUUAUGGGUGGUGGUGCAUGGCCGUUCUUAGUUCGUGGAGUGAUUUGUCUGGUUAAUUCCGAUAACGAACGAGACCUUAUUCUGCUAAUUAGCUGGGCCAACUUUUUAGUUGGUUGAAAAAGUUUUAAUUUUUUCCUAGAUCUCGGUCUAGCCAGCUUCUUAGAGAGACUACUGAAUACAAUUCAGGGGAAGUUUUAGGCAAUAACAGGUCUGUGAUGCCCUUAGAUGUUCUGGGCCGCACGCGCGCUACACUGACAAAGUCAACGAGUGAUGAUUAUACCUUGGCCGGAAGGUCUGGGGAAACUUUUGAAACUUUGUCGUGCUGGGGAUAGAGCAUUGCAAUUAUUGCUCUUCAACGAGGAAUUCCUAGUAAGCGUAACUCAUCAGGUUGCGUUGAUUACGUCCCUGCCCUUUGUACACACCGCCCGUCGCUACUACCGAUUGAAUGGUCAUAGUGAGCAUGUGGGAUCAUUGAAGGCUGGUUGGCAACAACUGGCUUUUGAGGAGAACUAUGGCAAACUAGAUUAUUUAGAGGAAAUAAAAAGUAAG